ACUCCUACGGGAGGCAGCAGUUUGGAAUUUUGGACAAUGGGCGAAAGCCUGAUCCAGCGACGCCGCGUGGACGAUGAAGGUCUUCGGAUUGUAAAGUCCUUUUGUUAGGGAAGAAUAUUUUGACGGUACCUAACGAAUAAGAGGUUGCUAACUCUGUGCCAGCAGCCGCGGUAAU
rnacentral:rRNA from 1 species